UCGUAUUUUGCAGUGAGCCAGUGAAACAGCAUUUUAAUCAGACGUCUUGACCCAUGCUCUUCUGUUUUCCUUUGCAGCCUUGCAAGCUAUUUGGCAUAUGAAGGUCCUGACCUGAGAAAACCAUCUUGGAUAACCGUGGCAAGGAGAACGAAAAAUGCAACAGCUAGGAGAUUUCGAGCAGCAAAGCAAAGCCUGGGAACCAGGCCAAAUGCCUGCCACUUACCUUAAAUUGAUCAGCUACUUUGAGAUUAAAACCCCUGAGAGCUGCCACACCGUGAAAACAAGGCCUCCUUCACAUUAAAGGCAAAUUGCGACUUUG